rnacentral:rRNA from 1 species
UAGGGAAUCUUCGGCAAUGGACGGAANNNUGGACCGAGCAACGCCGCGUGAGUGAAGAAGGUUUUCGGAUCGUAAAGCUCUGUUGUAAGAGAAGAACGAGUGUGAGAGUGGAAAGUUCACACUGUGACGGUAUCUUACCAGAAAGGGACGGCUAACUACGUGCCAGCAGCCGCGGUAAUACGUAGGUCCCGAGCGUUGUCCGGAUUUAUUGGGCGUAAAGCGAGCGCAGGCGGUUAGAUAAGUCUGAAGUUAAAGGCUGUGGCUUAACCAUAGUACGCUUUGGAAACUGUUUAACUUGAGUGCAAGAGGGGAGAGUGGAAUUCCAUGUGUAGCGGUGAAAUGCGUAGAUAUAUGGAGGAACACCGGUGGCGAAAGCGGCUCUCUGGCUUGUAACUGACGCUGAGGCUCGAAAGCGUGGGGAGCAAACAGGAUUAGAUACCCUGGUAGUCCACGCCGUAAACGAUGAGUGCUAGGUGUUAGACCCUUUCCGGGGUUUAGUGCCGCAGCUAACGCAUUAAGCACUCCGCCUGGGGAGUACGACCGCAAGUUG